rnacentral:rRNA from 1 species
GGGCCCGCACAAGCGGUGGAGUAUGCUGGUUUAAUUCGAUGCAACGCGAAGAACCUUACCAGGGUUUGACAUCCUGCGAAUCUCUUGGAAACGAGAGAGUGCCUUCGGGAACGCAGUGACAGGUGGUGCAUGGCUGUCGUCAGCUCGUGUCGUGAGAUGUUGGGUUAAGUCCCGCAACGAGCGCAACCCACGUCUUUAGUUGCCAGCAUUUGGUUGGGCACUCUAGAGAGACUGCCGGUGAUAAACCGGAGGAAGGUGUGGAUGACGUCAAGUCAUCAUGCCCCUUACAUCCUGGGCUACACACGUACUACAAUGCUACGGACAAAGGGCAGCAAGUUCGCGAGGACAAG